rnacentral:rRNA from 1 species
GACGAACGCUGGCGGCGUGCUUAACACAUGCCAGUCGAACGGAAAGGCCCUGCUUGCCGGGUGCUCGAGUGGCGAACGGGUGAGUAACACGUGGGUGAUCUGCCCCUUACUUUGGGAUAAGCCUGGGAAACUGGGUCUAAUACUGGAUAGGACCAUGCUGUAGGUGGUGUGGUGGAAAGAUUAGUUUCGGUAAGGGAUGAGCUCGCGGCCUAUCAGCUUGUUGGUGGGGUAAUGGCCUACCAAGGCGUCGACGGGUAGCCGGCCUGAGAGGGUGGACGGCCACAUUGGGACUGAGAUACGGCCCAGACUCCUACGGGAGGCAGCAGUGGGGAAUAUUGCACAAUGGGCGCAAGCCUGAUGCAGCGACGCCGCGUGGGGGAUGACGGCCUUCGGGUUGUAAACUCCUUUCAGCCAUGACGAAGCCUUCGGGUGACGGUAGUGGUAGAAGAAGCACCGGCUAACUACG